rnacentral:rRNA from 1 species
CUACUGGUACCUUGACGGUACCUCACCAGAAAGCCACGGCUAACUACGUGCCAGCAGCCGCGGUAAUACGUAGGUGGCAAGCGUUGUCCGGAAUUAUUGGGCGUAAAGCGCGCGCAGGCGGUCCCUUAAGUCUGAUGUGAAAGCCCACGGCUCAACCGUGGAGGGUCAUUGGAAACUGGGGGACUUGAGUGCAGAAGAGGAAAGUGGAAUUCCACGUGUAGCGGUGAAAUGCGUAGAGAUCAGGAAGAACAUCGGUGGCGAAGGCGCUCUGCUGGACCAUAACUGACACUCAGGGACGAAAGCUAGGGGAGCGAAUGGGAUUAGAUACCCCAGUAGUCCUAGCCGUAAACGAUGGAUACUAGGUGUUGUCUGUAUCGACCCGGACAGUGCCGUAGC